AGUUUAUCAUGGCUCAGAUUGAACGCUGGCGGGAUGCUUUACACGCUUUAAAGUGAACGCGCGGACUUCAGUCUGGUGGCGAGUGGCGAACGGGUGAGUAAUGUAUCGGAACGUGCUAAGUAGCGGGGGAUAACUGCUGAAAGCGGCUAGCACUAAUACGCCUUUUUUGCGCCUCGGGGAAAAGCAGGAGACCUUCGGGCCUCGCGCGCUAUUGAAGCGGCCGAUAUCGGAUUAGUAGUUGGUGGGGUAACGGCUCACCAAGGCGACGAUCCGUAGCUGGUUUGAGAGGACGACCAGCCACACUGGGACUGAGACGUAGACUCUACGGGGAGGCAGCAGUGGGGAAUUUUGGACAAUGGGGAAACCCUGAUCCAGCCAUCCCGCCCAUGUGCGAUGAAAGCCUUCAGGUUGUAAAGCACUUUUGGCAGGAAAGAAACGGCGGGAUAAUACCCCGUACAACUGACGAAAUACCACCAGAAUAAGCACCGGCUAACUACGUGCCAGCAGCCAUGAUAAUACGUAAGUGCAAGCGUUAAUCGGAAUUACUGGGCGUAAAGCGUGCGCAGGCGGUUCGGAAGAAGAUGUGAAAUCCCAGAGCUUAACUUUGGAACUGCAUUUUUAACUACCGAGCUAGAGUGUGUCAGAGGGAGGUGGAAUUCCCGCGUGUAGCAGUGAAAUGCGUAGAUAUGCGGAGGAACACCGAUGGCGAGCAGCCUCCUGGGAUAACACUGACGCUCAUGCACGAAAGCAGUGGGGGAGCAAACAGGAUUAGAUACCCUGGUAGUCCACGCCUAAACGAUGUCAGCUAGCUGUUAGAGCGCUUCUCGGGCCUUGGUAGCGCAGCUAACGCGUGAAGUUGACCACCUGGGAAGCCGCGAUUAUAGAUUAACUCAAAGGAAUUGACGGGGACCCGCACAAGCGGUGGAUGAUGUGGAUUAAUUCGAUGCAACGCGCGAAAAACCUUACCUACCCUUGACAUGUCUGGAAUCCCGAAAGAGAUUGGGGAGCAUACUAGAAGAAACCAGGAACACAGGUGCACUGGCUGUCGUCAGCUCGUGUCGUGAGAUGUUGGGUUAAGUCCCGCAACAGGCGCAACCCGUAUCAAUGGUGUGAAGAACCAUGAGACUGCCGAGUGACAAACCGGAGGAAGUCGGAGACGGCGUCCAAGUCCUCACUUUGGCCACAUAUGGGUAGGGCUUCACACGUCAUACAAUGGUGCCGGGACAGAGGGUCGCCAACCCGCGAGGGGAGCCAAUCCCGAAACCCGAUCGUAGUCCGGAUCGCAGUCUGCAACUCGACUGCGUGAAGUCGGAAUCGCUAGUAAUCGCGGAUCAGCAUGUCUCAGCGUCGAUACCAUUCCCAGGUCUUGUACCUACCGCCCGUCACACCAUGGGUGGGUUUUACCCGAAGUGGUUAGCCUAACCGUAAGGAGGGCGAUUACCACGGUAGGAUUCAUGACUGGGGGUGAAGUCGCCUUUCAGAUAA
rnacentral:rRNA from 1 species